rnacentral:lncRNA from 1 species
AAAACCCACUUUUUCCGGGGAAAGUUUUCGUCGAAGUAAAUCGGAAAAAACACCUCUCUAUGCAGAAUUUAAUUGCGGUGAAUUUUUAUUUGGGUGUUUUUGGUCUAAAGUUAAAAUCUUUGGAGUUAUAGAACAAAAAUUGAAAAAAACACGAUUUUCGGGCGCCAUUUUGUUUAUAAAAAAAGUAGCACACUAUCUGCGGACUUUGCAUAUCUAUAUUAUUAAUAUAUACAAUCAUUAGAUUCGAUUCCAGCAAUAAAAUUGCUGGUAAAUAACUUUUCCCAAAAAUGGCCUAUUCUCCGAUAAUCAUCCCAGACUAUAUCUGUAUGUUUAGUAUCAUAAGUCUCGUAUCUCUUUUGCUUAAUUUUCAUCUGGAUUGAUGGAUGAAAAAGUACUUACAUGCUAUGAGCUUACAUGGACCUAAAAGACUUUUAUGUUUUUUACAAUUUAGGUGCCAAAUUCUAUUGUGUAUAAAGUAAUAAAAAUACUGUUGAACUUAAUAAAAAUAUGCUUUCUUCUUGCGAAGUCUUGUAGGUGACAAACCUUUCCUGAAGUGCCUUAAAAGCAUCUUAUCAAGAAGUAGAAGAUUUCACUUUCGAUGCUUUCUAUCAGAACAUUAUACAGGGUGUCCCGGAAAAUAGUGCGUUCCUUAAAGGUGUGGGUACAAUGCACCAUUUAAAAGAAAACUUUCUUAUAAUUUUUUUUCUAAAGUCGUCUGUUGCCUCAAAAAAAUAAAAUAAUGUUUUUUAAUAGCGAAGAUAUUUAAAAUUGUAAACACAAACAGUCAUAUCAUAAUUACCUGUAACCCGAGAAUACAUCGUAUUGUUGUGGUAUAGUGGUAUUGUCAUGAUUUCGAUCGCAAGUAUCAUGUUAAUUACGUAAUACCUAUAGUGUAUAAUUAGUGCAAGAUUUAGGUACACCAAGGCAAUUUACCUCGAAGUUUAAGGAUUUGUAGAUGGUUUCAAAACAAACUCUGUAAAGUGUUGUGUGCAGAUAAAGCUUGUUUUACGAGAAAUGGUGUUUGUGUGUUUUACUUUAAUAAUGCCAAAAGUCUUAAUGUAUGGGCUGGGAUUAUUAGUAAUCAUCUGAUUGAACCACUCGAACUUCCCAGAAGAUUGAAUGGAGAAAUGUAAUACUCAAAUUUUUUGUAACAUGUUCUACCGAUAGGUAGAUACUUCUUGAAGAUGAAGACGUAGCUUGAUUCUGAUUGUAAUAAAAAUGUUUCAUGUAAGUUAAAACACUAUACAAACCUUAUUUAUUAGAUAUUUAAUAAACACAAAUAGUAUGCUGUUUUUCUAUCACUGUUAUCAGUAUUUUAUCAAUACAUAAUGUUAUACCUAAUGGUCGAUGAUUCAUGAUAGUUGAGUUCCAGUAAAAUUAUUUUUACACAGAAGAAGGAACGCAACGUUGCCGGCUGUAUUUGCAUUUCUGUGGACAUUAAUCAAAUUCAUUAAAAUUAAUAAAUUAUUUUUUUGAAAACUGUUGACUUUACAAAAAAAUGUAUCAGACUUUUUUGCUCUAAAUGGUGCACUUAGCCCGUACCUUGAAGGAACGCACUAUUGUCCGGGAGUUACAGUAUGUUGUUUAUAAUUAUUUCUUCCUUAAGUUUCUUCUACAACUGCUGCCGACAUUAUCAAAGAUACCGCUGGGUCGAAAGUACCCUCUCAUCGCUCCUGUAAAUCGAUGUUUUCCUUUUCUCUCUCGUCCCCCCUCCCUACAAGCGGGCUUUAGGGGGAAGCCCGGAGGUAGGAGUGGCAAACUGUUUUUGAAUCUUUUUUGAGGUCCUUAAAUUGACAUUCUCAGCAAAAUUUAGCUUGUUCGUCUCGUUUUUAGAGAUCCUAUCUCUGGAGACUGGACUAAUGGUACUAAAAUAUCUAAAGAUAGAGCAUACGGAUCAGCCUAAUAGCAUUUACUACUAAUGCUCAUAAUUUAGACAAUUCUCGCCCAUUGACUACAAAUAAGCAUUACUCUGAUAUAUAUAAAAUGAUUAUUAAGAGCCUUAAACAAUAAAUACAACAGACGGAGGCCUUUUGUAGGAAUUUGUAUGUACAAGCUUAAUUUAAGAUUAGAGUACUGCGUUAUUUCUUAUCAAGCAAUGUAGAUAUGAAAAUUGUGUACAGAUUAAUAAUUAUAUAAUUCAAAAAACGAUAUUGUUCACUAUUUUCCUUCUUUUAAACACUUAAGCUUGUUACAUACGGGGAGCUAUACUAUAAAUAUAUAUUAUAUCUCAUAUCUUCUUCUUCAUGUACCAUCUCCUCUAAGUAGGUUGGCAACUAUCACGGCAAUUCGCACUUUCGAUACCGCUGCUCUAAAGAGAUCAGCAGAAGUGCAAUUAAACCAAGCUCUCAAAUUGUUUAACCAGGAGAUGCGUCUUCUUCCGCGACUCCUUCUACCCUGUAUUCUUCCUUGCAUUAUUAAUUGUAACAAGUUAUAACGCUCGCCCCUCAUAACAUGUCCCAGAUAUUGUAGUUUUCUGAGUUUAACUGUAUUUAAAACCUCUUUAUCUUUUCCCAUUCUUCUCAACACCUCGAUCUUCGUGACUCUAUCCACCCAACUUAUUCUUAAUAUUCUUCUGUAGCCCCAUAACUCGAAGGCUUCUAAUCUGUCCGAAACAUCCUUCUUUAAUGUCCAAGCCUCCAACCCAUAGAAUAAUACGGAGAACACGUAGCAUCUCAGAAGUCUUAUCUUUAAAGAAAUUGUAAUGUCCCUGCUACAGAGUACUUUUUUCAGUUUGUUGAAAGCAUUUCUUGCCUGUCCUAUUCUUGCUUUAAUCUCUUCUGUCUAUCUCAUAUAUUACAUCUUAUAUCACUCACUAUUCGCGGUGUGCAAGUACUUGUAGGGGAUACGAGAAACGAUCGUGCGCGAAUAGCGGAGAAAUCUUGCAACUUUCUUAAAAAAUUCAUAUUGUCAAUUGAAAUUGUCAAAUUGACGUAUAUUUCAUACCUACUGUCAUUGAAGAAGAAAAAUUAUAUGUUGCUCACAAUAUUGAUAUGAUAUGCAAUUAUUUUAUAAGUCAGGAGAUUCCUCAGAUAAUUUUAAGACAAUUUAACCAAAUUCACCUAGUCCGAAAAUGCUUCCUAAGGGAGCUAGAGCUCUUUGAAGAUGGCGUCUUUUAACUGGUUUUUCUUAUACACCUCUAGAACGCUUCUAGUUAGAAAAACGAAAAUUGGUACACAGAUUUAUCUUCCAGAGAUAACUUGAUUCCAUCUAUUGUGAAUUUCUAGUACCAGUAAUAGGCGUCCGUUUUGGGUGGGGCAACGGUUAUUUUAUCGCAUAACUUUUUUGUCUAUAACUUUUAAGCAUUUUGGAUACUGGAUUAUUAAAUUGUGAGGUAUUCUAGUACUAAAAGGUACUCUUGCUUUAAGUCGGUAGGACGCACCGUUUUCUGGAAAAAUCGAUUUGAACAUUUUUCGUUUCCUGAAUUUGAAAAAAAAAACUUUUCAAAAAAAACAGUUUAUUUUACCAACUUAAAGCAAGAGUAACUUUAGUGUAGUAAAAAUUAAAGACAAAAAAGUUAUGUGAUAAAAUAACCGUUGACCUACCCAAAAGGGACGCAUAUGACCGGUACUAGAAAUUCGCAAUUAAUGAAAUCGAUUCAUCUCUGGAAUAUAAAUAAACGUACCAGUUUUCAUUUUUCUAAGUAUUUUUUUUUUAAUUUUUUUUUUUUGAUAUUCAAAAAACGAAAAAUUUUCAAACCGAUUUUUCUAGAAAACGGUGUAUCCUAUCGACUAUACUAAGAGUAUCUUUUAGUACUACAAUACCUUAUGUUUUAAUAAUCGAGACUCAAAAAUGCUUAAAAAUUAAAAACACAAAAGUUUGCGAUAAUAUAACUGUUGCCCUACCCAAAACGGACGCCUAUGACCGGUACUAGAAAUUUGCAAUGGAUGGAAUCGAUGUAUCUUUGGAAGAUAAAUAAGUGUACCAAUUUUCCUUUUUCUAAAUAGAAGCGUUCCAGAGAGAUUUAAGAAAAACUAAUUAGAAGAGCUCUAGCUCCCUUAGGAAGCAUUUUCGGAAUAGGUGAAUUGGAUUAAAUUAUCUGAGGAAUCUCCUGUCUUCGUUUGUCGGUAGAGUUUCUGGACAUCCUGUAUAUACAGUAUAAUAUUAUAUAUGAUGUAAUGAUGAAAAUUGAUGUAUUUUUUGUAAAUUUCAGUCAUUUUCAGGGUCAGGGGGGCAAAUUCCCCCCUGACCCUAUCAAAUGACGCCCCUGGAUUUGACUUUCAUGUCCUGUCAUGUUACUGUCAAGAAAAUAUUCAAAAUAAUUGUUUUUUUGUACAAAAAAUACAUCAAUUAAUAGUAUUGUUGCUCUGCUUUAAAAUAACUUUAUUCAAGUACCAAGAAUAUUACUACUGUUCAGAAUACAAAGAAUAUUACAUUCCGUAUUGUUGUACGGAGUUGAGUCGUGUACUCUCACAGACGCCAGCUGCAAGAAAAUUGAGGCGUUUGAAAUGUGGCUUUAUCGGCGAAUCCUGAAGACAUCUUAUACCGACCACAUUACUAAGCUGGGUGUUUUGUUGAGAAUGCAAAAAGAAAAAGAGCUGUUAAUCACAAUAAAAACAGCCAAAAUCGAUUACCUCGGUUACAUCGUGAGGAACAGUGAAAGAUAUGGACUGCUGCAACUAAUCUGGCAAGGAAAAGUGGAAGGAAAGCGAGGACCAGGAAGGCGAAGGAUUUCCUGGCUGAAAAAUCUACGUACGUGGUUCAACACAACAACCACAAAUAUUUUUAGAGCAGCAGUGUGCAAAGUACAGAUUGCCAUGAUGGUCGCCAACAUCCGAAACGGACAGGCACUAGAAGAAGAAGAAGAAGAAUAUUACACUUAUGAAUCUUGGCUAUAAAACUUUUUCAACUUUAACACAAUGACAACUAUAAACGACUAUUAUAUUAACUAUAAAUUUUCUAUUUUAAUAUUCACUACCACCCGUGUGUCUAGUAGCGUGGCAGUUACUGUAUAUUAUAGUAAAGCUCCCCGUGAGUAACAAGCUUUAAGGAUUUUCAGAUUUUUAAUCGACAGCGUCCAAACGUUUCAUGUUUAGAUUGCUUGACUAUACACUAUAAUUUUAAAAUGUUUACAAAACGUUUUAAGAAGAAGAUAACCCCGAUUUUCUUUUGUUAAUUCUGUGAUAUUGUUUGUAGUUCCGUGUUUUGUUAAUUAUGUGUUUUUGUUUUUGUUAAUUUAAAAAAAAUUGUGGCUUUUUGUUUUCAUGUGAUCCAAAAUAAUAAAUUAUAUUUCUCUUUGGUUAACGGUAAUAAAAUAAUUAUGUUA